rnacentral:rRNA from 1 species
AUGAACGCUAGCUACAGGCUUAACACAUGCAAGUCGAGGGGCAGCAUGGUCUUAGCUUGCUAAGGCCGAUGGCGACCGGCGCACGGGUGAGUAACACGUAUCCAACCUGCCGUCUACUCUUGGACAGCCUUCUGAAAGGAAGAUUAAUACAAGAUGGCAUCAUGAGUCCGCAUGUUCACAUGAUUAAAGGUAUUCCGGUAGACGAUGGGGAUGCGUUCCAUUAGAUAGUAGGCGGGGUAACGGCCCACCUAGUCUUCGAUGGAUAGGGGUUCUGAGAGGAAGGUCCCCCACAUUGGAACUGAGACACGGUCCAAACUCCUACGGGAGGCAGCAGUGAGGAAUAUUGGUCAAUGGGCGAGAGCCUGAACCAGCCAAGUAGCGUGAAGGAUGACUGCCCUAUGGGUUGUAAACUUCUUUUAUAAAGGAAUAAAGUCGGGUAUGGAUACCCGUUUGCAUGUACUUUAUGAAUAAGGAUCGGCUAACUCCGUGCCAGCAGCCGCGGUAAUACGGAGGAUCCGAGCGUUAUCCGGAUUUAUUGGGUUUAAAGGGAGCGUAGAUGGAUGUUUAAGUCAGUUGUGAAAGUUUGCGGCUCAACCGUAAAAUUGCAGUUGAUACUGGAUAUCUUGAGUGCAGUUGAGGCAGGCGGAAUUCGUGGUGUAGCGGUGAAAUGCUUAGAUAUCACGAAGAACUCCGAUUGCGAAGGCAGCCUGCUAAGCUGCAACUGACAUUGAGGCUCGAAAGUGUGGGUAUCAAACAGGAUUAGAUACCCUGGUAGUCCACACCGUAAACGAUGGAUACUAGGUGUAGGGGAUAUUAAAAUUCUCUGUGCCGCCGCUAACGCAAUAAGUAUCCCACCUGGGGAGUACGGCCGCAAGGUUGAAACUCAAAGGAAUUGACGGGGGCCCGCACAAGCGGAGGAACAUGUGGUUUAAUUCGAUGAUACGCGAGGAACCUUACCCGGGCUUAAAUUGCAGAUGAAUUACGGUGAAAGCCGUAAGCCGCAAGGCAUCUGUGAAGGUGCUGCAUGGUUGUCGUCAGCUCGUGCCGUGAGGUGUCGGCUUAAGUGCCAUAACGAGCGCAACCCUUGUUGUCAGUUACUAACAGGUUCCGCUGAGGACUCUGACAAGACUGCCAUCGUAAGAUGUGAGGAAGGUGGGGAUGACGUCAAAUCAGCACGGCCCUUACGUCCGGGGCUACACACGUGUUACAAUGGGGGGUACAGAGGGCCGCUACCACGCGAGUGGAUGCCAAUCCCCAAAACCUCUCUCAGUUCGGACUGGAGUCUGCAACCCGACUCCACGAAGCUGGAUUCGCUAGUAAUCGCGCAUCAGCCACGGCGCGGUGAAUACGUUCCCGGGCCUUGUACACACCGCCCGUCAAGCCAUGGGAGCCGGGGGUACCUGAAGUGCGUAACCGCGAGGAGCGCCCUAGGGUAAAACUGGUGACUGGGGCU